rnacentral:misc_RNA from 1 species
GGAAGUAAAAGUUGUAACAAGGUUUCCGUAGGUGAACCUGCAGAAGGAUCAUUAUUGUAUAACCGAGGUGCGAGGGCUGUCGCUGACCCGAAAGGUCGUGCACGCCCGAGUGCCCUCACACACAUCCAUUUCACCCCUAUGUGCACCACCGCGUGGGUCCCCCUUUGGCUUGUUCGGAGGGGGGCUUACGUUUUCACACAAACUUUGUAUGCAGUGUAGAAUGUAUUUUUUGUUUUUGCGAUCACGCAAUCAAUACAACUUUCAACAACGGAUCUCUUGGCUCUC